GCCAUCUAGCGAUAGGAUGGCCAUCUCUAUCGGUCGUGGUUGUUGCCUUUGUUGCUCUGUCAAAUCUGUUGCCAUGGUGGUUUCAGAAGAUCUUUUCCCACAAGAACUUGCCUCGUGUGGUCCUAAAAGUCAUUACUGAUUUAUUUUUUAUUUUUCCAAACAAGAAUGUCUUGCAACGACGUAGAUGAAUACACAAUGUACCUUCAGUUGUACAAAUGGUACAAACAGGAUUGUGUUGAGAUGGGAAAGGUUCCCAAAGAAUUAAUAUCGUUUCUCGGACAGUUAAAAGCAAAAGCUCGUGGCCCUGGUGACGAUAGUCAGUUGAAGGGAAACUUAACUGAAUCGCAAGAAAGUAAACCAUCUUUGGUCUCAGUCUUGGAACCUCCUUGUCCUUCACCGAUGACAACCAAAUUUGAUAAUGUUGCUGCACAUUUUACAACCAGCUCAUCCUUUGGUCAUUCAGCAUUGAAUCCAAAAUCUGCUAACAGAGCCACAAAUUGUCCAGCCUUAGAUGGCAUCAAACGAAAGCUGAGAACCAUUGAAGGGAAAAGUGUUCCUACAGUUAAGAAAAGAUGCAUAAACACAUCCACAUUUACAUUACAUGUAUUUGUGUUCCCACACUUCGGCUGGUUAGGAAGUACAGCCACUACAGGAGAAAAGGCAGACUUUUGUGACAUGUUUUACAGAGCUGGGCUCUGGAGAUAAGGGAGCUGGAAACAUCAUUCCUGGCGGUGCCACACUGCUUUUUGAUGUCGAGUUGAUGGGCAUCAACCAGGCCCCACCUCCCCAGAAUGUUUUCAAACAGAUUGACAGUGAUUCCAACAACCAGUUGUCGAAAGAAGAGGUGGCAGAUUACAUAAAAAAGCACAUUUUCCCAACUGAGAAAGCUGAAGAGGUCCCUGCUGAAGAAGGAGCACCGCAGCAGCAAGAUCCUCUCAAGAUUACUGAAGAGAUCUUCCAGCACGAAGAUCACGACCGAGAUGGCUACAUCUCGUUCGAAGAAUUCUACGGACCGCACGAUGAACUCCAAGUCUUCCAUUCUCGCGAUCCAGUUUAAAUCUCAGAAUUAGCUCUCUCAACCGGCCAUAACAAAAUGCAAUUCCAUAUUGUUCUCUUUGUUGUUAUGUCUAAACCUCACUACCUGUUUCUGUACUCGUGUUAUUCGCCCACAUGAAUUAAAUGUGUUGUUCAACCUCGAGUUGAAAAACUCAAGAAACUAUCAAGAAAAUCGAUUAAUUAUCUUGUAAACUAUAAAACAUUUUUACAAAUAUUCCAUGUAAAUCUUUGUUUUAUCCUAAAUUACUCUUCUUUACUUAAGAUUCGGUUAAUCAGUGCUAUAUACUCGUUUGCCAGUUGUUUAUUAUGUUUUUAUUUGUCGGAUUGAAUUCAGAAAAUAUAGGCGUUGAUCAUU
rnacentral:lncRNA from 1 species